rnacentral:rRNA from 1 species
AAGUCGUAACAAGGUCUCCGUUGGUGAACCAGCGGAGGGAUCAUUACUGAGUACUACACUCUCUACCCUUUGUGAACUAUUAUACCUGUUGCUUCGGCGGCGCCCGCAAGGGUGCCCGCCGGUCUCAUCAGAAUCUCUGUUUUCGAACCCGACGAUACUUCUGAGUGUUCUUAGCGAACUGUCAAAACUUUUAACAACGGAUCUCUUGGCUCCAGCAUCGAUGAAGAACGCAGCGAAACGCGAUAUGUAAUGUGAAUUGCAGAAUUCAGUGAAUCAUCGAAUCUUUGAACGCACAUGGCGCCUUCCAGUAUCCUGGGAGGCAUGCCUGUCCGAGCGUCGUUUCAACCCUCGAGCCCCUGUGGCCCGGCGUUGGGGAUCUGCCACGGCAGGCCCCUAAAACCAGUGGCGGACCCGAAGGGCCCUCUCCUUUGCGCAGUAGCAUUCGCCUCGCAUCGGAGUCCUCGGCGUCCUGCCUCUAAACCCCCACAAGCCCGCUUCGGCGGCACCAAGGUUGACCUCGGAUCAGGUAGGAAUACCCGCUGAACUUAA